GACGAACGCUGGCGGCGUGCUUAACACAUGCAAGUCGAACGGAAAGGCCCUGCUUUUGUGGGGUGCUCGAGUGGCGAACGGGUGAGUAACACGUGAGUAACCUGCCCUUGACUUUGGUAUAACUUCAGGAAACUGGGGCUAAUACCGGAUAGGAGCUCCUGCUGCAUGGUGGGGGUUGGAAAGUUUCGGCGGUUGGGGAUGGACUCGCGGCUUAUCAGCUUGUUGGUGGGGUAGUGGCUUACCAAGGCUUUGACGGGUAGCCGGCCUGAGAGGGUGACCGGCCACAUGGGGACUGAGAUACGGCCCAGACUACUACGGGAGGCAGGAGUGGGGAAUAUUGCACAAUGGGCGGAAGCCUGAUGCAGCAACGCCGGGUGCGGGAUGACGGCCUUCGGGUGGUAAACCGCUUUCGCCUGUGACGAAGCGUGAGUGACGGUAAUGGGGAAAGAAGCACCGGCUAACUACGU
rnacentral:rRNA from 1 species